rnacentral:rRNA from 1 species
UACGGGGGGGGCAAGCGUUGUUCGGAAUUACUGGGCGUAAAGGGCUCGUAGGCGGCCAACUAAGUCAGACGUGAAAUCCCCAGGCUUAACCUGGGAACUGCGUCUGAUACUGGAUGGCUUGAAUUCGGGAGAGGGAUGCAGAAUUCCAGGUGUAGCGGUGAAAUGCGUAGAUAUCUGGAGGGAUACCGGUGGCGAAGGCGGCAUCCUGGACCGAGAUUGACGCUGAUGAGCGAAAGCUAGGGGAGCAAACGGG